rnacentral:rRNA from 2 species
UGCAGUCGAGCGAACAGAUGAGAAGCUUGCUUCUCUGAUGUUAGCGGCGGACGGGUGAGUAACACGUGGGUAACCUACCUAUAAGACUGGGAUAACUCCGGGAAACCGGGGCUAAUACCGGAUAAUAUUUUGAACCGCAUGGUUCAAUAGUGAAAGACGGUUUCGGCUGUCACUUAUAGAUGGACCCGCGCCGUAUUAGCUAGUUGGUAAGGUAAUGGCUUACCAAGGCGACGAUACGUAGCCGACCUGAGAGGGUGAUCGGCCACACUGGAACUGAGACACGGUCCAGACUCCUACGGGAGGCAGCAGUAGGGAAUCUUCCGCAAUGGGCGAAAGCCUGACGGAGCAACGCCGCGUGAGUGAUGAAGGUCUUCGGAUCGUAAAACUCUGUUGUUAGGGAAGAACAAAUUUGUUAGUAACUGAACAAGUCUUGACGGUACCUAACCAGAAAGCCACGGCUAACUACGUGCCAGCAGCCGCGGUAAUACGUAGGUGGCAAGCGUUAUCCGGAAUUAUUGGGCGUAAAGCGCGCGUAGGCGGUUUCUUAAGUCUGAUGUGAAAGCCCACGGCUCAACCGUGGAGGGUCAUUGGAAACUGGGAAACUUGAGUGCAGAAGAGGAGAGUGGAAUUCCAUGUGUAGCGGUGAAAUGCGCAGAGAUAUGGAGGAACACCAGUGGCGAAGGCGGCUCUCUGGUCUGUAACUGACGCUGAUGUGCGAAAGCGUGGGGAUCAAACAGGAUUAGAUACCCUGGUAGUCCACGCCGUAAACGAUGAGUGCUAAGUGUUAGGGGGUUUCCGCCCCUUAGUGCUGCAGCUAACGCAUUAAGCACUCCGCCUGGGGAGUACGACCGCAAGGUUGAAACUCAAAGGAAUUGACGGGGACCCGCACAAGCGGUGGAGCAUGUGGUUUAAUUCGAAGCAACGCGAAGAACCUUACCAAAUCUUGACAUCCUUUGACCGCUCUAGAGAUAGAGUCUUCCCCUUCGGGGGACAAAGUGACAGGUGGUGCAUGGUUGUCGUCAGCUCGUGUCGUGAGAUGUUGGGUUAAGUCCCGCAACGAGCGCAACCCUUAAGCUUAGUUGCCAUCAUUAAGUUGGGCACUCUAGGUUGACUGCCGGUGACAAACCGGAGGAAGGUGGGAUGACGUCAAAUCAUCAUGCCCCUUAUGAUUUGGGCUACACACGUGCUACAAUGGAUAAUACAAAGGGCAGCGAAUCCGCGAGGCCAAGCAAAUCCCAUAAAAUUAUUCUCAGUUCGGAUUGUAGUCUGCAACUCGACUACAUGAAGCUGGAAUCGCUAGUAAUCGUAGAUCAGCAUGCUACGGUGAAUACGUUCCCGGGUCUUGUACACACCGCCCGUCACACCACGAGAGUUUGUAACACCCGAAGCCGGUGGAGUAACCUUUUAGGAGCUAG